GUAAGGAAUAUUGGUCAAUGGACGAAAGUCUGAACCAGCCAUGCCGCGUGGAGGAUGAAGGUCCUCUGGAUUGUAAACUUCUUUUAUAUGGGACGAAAAUGGGGCUUUCUAGCUCAACUGACGGUACCAUAUGAAUAAGCACCGGCUAACUCCGUGCCAGCAGCCGCGGUAAUACGGAGGGUGCAAGCGUUAUCCGGAUUCACUGGGUUUAAAGGGUGCGUAGGUGGGUAUUUAAGUCAGUGGUGAAAUCUCCGAGCUUAACUCGGAAACUGCCAUUGAUACUAUUUACCUUGAAUGCCCUGGAGGUAAGCGGAAUAUGUCAUGUAGCGGUGAAAUGCUUAGAUAUGACAUAGAACACCAAUUGCGAAGGCAGCUUACUACGGGGUGAUUGACACUGAGGCACGAAAGCGUGGGGAGCAAACAGGAUUAGAAACCCUGGUAGUCC
rnacentral:rRNA from 1 species